AAUACAGCAGCAGAGAGGCGUGGCACUCGAGCAAAGGAAAACUUCAAACUGAAUCAGCAAAAGCCGAACAAGCAAUUGAAGUAGCAGCCGAGAAUUUCAGCUGAACGGAAGAAGGGAAGCUCGACGAUUGGAGGAAUUUCCUUCUCCAAACUCACUGCUGGUCAUCUCGAAUUUCUUAAUUACACUUAGAACUGGUGAUAAUCAAUUGGCAUGCCGCUAAUUGAAGCAACUACAGAUUUAAUUUCGGAAGCCGUUGGAGGAUUUUCUUUAAUUAACACAAGGUUUAACACGAGCUUCUUCGUGGGAUGAUUCCGUACUUACUCUAUAUUACUAAUUAAUAUCAGUUGAGUAGGGGAUUAAAUUCGGUGGAUGUAACGACAGCUACCAUAAAAAAAGAUCUCUCACAAGUUAUAUCUUUACAAUUGGAGGUUUUGCAAGCAGUUGGGAAGCCACCUUGCAAAAUACUAUUGCUUUGUCUACCAUUGAAGCUAAGUUAAUGGCGACCACUAAGGCUUGUAAAGAAGCUAUUUCGUUAAAAGAGAUAUUUAGUGAACUCAAUGAAGUCCUUCAAAUCAGUACAAUAUUUUGUGACAGUCAAAGUGCCAUCUUCCUUACAAAAGAUCAAAUGUUUCAUAAGAGAACAAAGCACAUUGAUGUUUGGUAUCAUUUUGUUCGUGAUAUUCUUGCUUGUAGUGAUAUUGUUGUUUGCAAAACUAGUACUCAUGACAAUCCUACAGAUAUGAUGAAUAAGUUACUUCCUAUAACCAAGUUUGAUCAUUGCUUAGACUUAGUUGGUGUUAAUUGUUGAAGAUAAACCCUUAAGGGGUUUCAUGGAAGAGGUGGAGAACUUGUUCAUUAAAAAUUUGUAUCAAGGUGGAGAUUUUUGGACUUGAGAUCCAAAUUCUUAUUAAAAUAAAAUACAGGCUGCACAAGAAGAAUCCGUAUAGAAGUUUACUUCCUCUGUUUGAUAUUGAUUUGAAUAAGGUGUUUCAACCUUAAUACAUUACUUGUAUUAGAUGUUGAUUAGAAUAAGGUUUUCUAAACCUAUAAAUAGACGCAGUCUUUACUCCUUGUAAUUAUUUGAA